rnacentral:rRNA from 1 species
UACAGAGGGUGCUAGCGUUAAUCGGAAUUACUGGGCGUAAAGCGCGUGUAGGCGGAUAUUUAAGUCGGGUGUGAAAUCCCCGGGCUCAACCUGGGAAUUGCAUUCGAUACUGAAUGCCUAGAGUAUGGUAGAGGAAGGUGGAACUUUCGGUGUAGCGGUGAAAUGCGUAGAUAUCGGAAAGAACACCAGUGGCGAAGGCGGCCUUCUGGACCAAUACUGACGCUAAAGCGCGAAAGCGUGGGGAGCAAACAGG